rnacentral:rRNA from 1 species
AUGAACGCUAGCUACAGGCUUAACACAUGCAAGUCGAGGGGCAGCAUGAACUUAGCUUGCUAAGUUUGAUGGCGACCGGCGCACGGGUGAGUAACACGUAUCCAACCUGCCGAUGACUCGGGGAUAGCCUUUCGAAAGAAAGAUUAAUACCCGAUGGCAUAGUUCUUCCGCAUGGUAGAACUAUUAAAGAAUUUCGGUCAUCGAUGGGGAUGCGUUCCAUUAGGUUGUUGGCGGGGUAACGGCCCACCAAGCCUUCGAUGGAUAGGGGUUCUGAGAGGAAGGUCCCCCACAUUGGAACUGAGACACGGUCCAAACUCCUACGGGAGGCAGCAGUGAGGAAUAUUGGUCAAUGGACGAGAGUCUGAACCAGCCAAGUAGCGUGAAGGAUGACUGCCCUAUGGGUUGUAAACUUCUUUUAUACGGGAAUAAAGUGAGGCACGUGUGCCUUUUUGUAUGUACCGUAUGAAUAAGGAUCGGCUAACUCCGUGCCAGCAGCCGCGGUAAUACGGAGGAUCCGAGCGUUAUCCGGAUUUAUUGGGUUUAAAGGGAGCGUAGGCGGACGCUUAAGUCAGUUGUGAAAGUUUGCGGCUCAACCGUAAAAUUGCAGUUGAUACUGGGUGUCUUGAGUACAGUAGAGGCAGGCGGAAUUCGUGGUGUAGCGGUGAAAUGCUUAGAUAUCACGAAGAACUCCGAUUGCGAAGGCAGCCUGCUGGACUGUAACUGACGCUGAUGCUCGAAAGUGUGGGUAUCAAACAGGAUUAGAUACCCUGGUAGUCCACACAGUAAACGAUGAAUACUCGCUGUUUGCGAUAUACAGUAAGCGGCCAAGCGAAAGCGUUAAGUAUUCCACCUGGGGAGUACGCCGGCAACGGUGAAACUCAAAGGAAUUGACGGGGGCCCGCACAAGCGGUGGAGUAUGUGGUUUAAUUCGACGCAACGCGAAGAACCUUACCAAGUCUUGACAUCCUGCGACGAUGCUGGAAACAGUAUUUUCCUUCGGGACGCAGAGACAGGUGGUGCAUGGUUGUCGUCAGCUCGUGUCGUGAGAUGUUGGGUUAAGUCCCGCAACGAGCGCAACCCUUAUUCUUAGUAGCCAGCAGGUAAGGCUGGGCACUCUAAGGAGACUGCCGGGGAUAACCCGGAGGAAGGUGGGGAUGACGUCAAAUCAGCACGGCCCUUACGUCCGGGGCUACACACGUGUUACAAUGGGGGGUACAGAAGGCAGCUACACGGCGACGUGAUGCUAAUCCCGAAAGCCUCUCUCAGUUCGGAUUGGAGUCUGCAACCCGACUCCAUGAAGCUGGAUUCGCUAGUAAUCGCGCAUCAGCCACGGCGCGGUGAAUACGUUCCCGGGCCUUGUACACACCGCCCGUCACACCAUGGGAGUCGGAAAUGCCCGGAGUCUGUGACUCAACCGCAAGGAGAGAGCAGCCGAAGGCAGGUCUGAUAACUGGGGUG